rnacentral:rRNA from 1 species
UACGUAGGGUGCGAGCGUUGUCCGGAAUUACUGGGCGUAAAGCGUGCGUAGGUGGUUUGUUAAGUCUGUUGUGAAAGCCCCCGGGCUCAACCUGGGAAUGGCAAUGGAUACUGGCAGGCUAGAGUGCGGUAGAGGGUAGUGGAAUUCCCGGUGUAGCGGUGAAAUGCGUAGAGAUCGGGAGGAACACCAGUGGCGAAGGCGGCUACCUGGACCAGCACUGACACUGAGCACGAAAGCGUGGGGAGCAAACAGG